rnacentral:rRNA from 1 species
CGCACGGGUGAGUAACACGUAUCCAACCUGCCGUCUACUCUUGGACAGCCUCUGAAAGGAAGAUUAAUACAAGAUGGCAUCAUGAGUUCACAUGUUCACAUGAUUAAAGGUAUUCCGGUAGACGAUGGGGAUGCGUUCCAUUAGAUAGUAGGCGGGGUAACGGCCCACCUAGUCUUCGAUGGAUAGGGGUUCUGAGAGGAAGGUCCCCCACAUUGGAACUGAGACACGGUCCAA